CCAGCCCUGAUGCUUCUUGAUUUCUUUCUUCUUGUGGGAGCAGCAUCCUGCCUUUUUCAGAUUCAAGACGGGUGUUCCUUCCACUGCUGGAUAAACCUUCAAGCUUUCCAUUCUUGCUUUCACUUUUGAUAUCUUUUUCUCGAAAGAGUUGCUCAUCAUUUGCAUUGGGAUGUUGCUGAGGAUUUAGGGGUCUACAUUGUAUCAUUUGACAGACCAGGGUAUGGGGAGAGUGAUCCUCAUCCAAGCCAAACUGUGAAGAGCCUGGCACUAGAUAUAGAAGAACUUGCUGAUAAAUUGGGACUAGGAUCCACAUUCUACAUAAUAGGUUUCUCUCUUGGGGGUCAGGUUGUUUGGAGGUGCCUUAAGUACAUCCCUCACAGAAUCUGUUGGUCCAGGCGGUCAAAACAAACUUUGAAUGAAUAUUAAUGUUAACUUCACGAGUGUAAAAUGCUGAGGUUUGGGAAAUUGGUGGGGUGAUUAUGCUUGUCUAUGACAUCAAGAUGAGUGGGGCAAUUGUACUUGUCAUACCAAAUUAUGCAAUACUUAAGACUCUCAUUUCUGUGUAAGUAUGCAGUACUUAAAGAAUUGUCUGCAAAAACUACACGAGGACAUCAAAUUUCUUGAAAUAAGUUAUAUGAAUCUAUGAGCCACUUUCUUUAUCUGUAUUCUUUAAAAUUUCAAUGG